CUAAGAAUCUUCCGCAAUGGGGGCAACCCUGACGGAGCGACGCCGCGUGGACGAUGAAGGCCGGAAGGUUGUAAAGUCCUUUUCUCUGAGAAGAAUAAUGUUGGGAGUGGAAUGCCCGACAGAUGACGUUAUCAGAGGAAUAAGCCCCGGCCAAUUACGUGCCAGCAGCCGCGGUAACACGUAUGGGGCGAGCGUUGUUCGGAAUUAUUGGGCGUAAAGGGCGUGUAGGCGGCUUGUUAAGCUUGGUGUUAAAGGCUUCGGCUCAACCGAGGUUUAGCGCUGAGAACUGGCAGGCUAGAGUUCUGGAGGGGGAGCUGGAAUUCCAGGUGUAGGGGUGAAAUCUGUAGAUAUCUGGAAGAACACCGGUGGCGAAGGCGAGCUCCUGGCCAUGGACUGACGCUGAGGCGCGAAAGCGUGGGGAGCGAACA
rnacentral:rRNA from 1 species